UAGCGGGUAGAAACCCAGACCGUGGGUCGUUUGGGUCCAAGUGUCAGCCAGUUCAGCAGGCGAUGGCGACUCCGUUUUCGGGUUAAUGUCCUGGCCCCGGCCUUUUGCCUUUCUUUGUUUACCUAUUUCCCGAUUUGGCCUCUUCCGUUCCAAACGGCCCUUCCCCGGAAAAUGUCCCGGCCUGUCAUUGUGCAGAGUCAUGCCGCCUUUCAUGUAACGUGCUGCACGCUACUUGCCCGUCAGUGUUAGCUGGGAGGGUCUCAUCUUAAUUACCAUGCGGACUGCUUACUGUCUUAUUCUUCAUGCUCAUUAACUGCUUUUCGCCAAUCCCAGGGGGUAAAAGUGAUUUAUAUUUCUCUUUAUGCGUAACUGAGGAAGACCCGGAAACUCCAGGGUCACGUGAGCUGUGGCCAUGUGAGCAUAGGUAAGCACCGCUGCAAGCACCCAGGAGGCUGUGGGGAGGCUGGAGGCAUGCAUCACCACAGGAUCAACUUGACAAAUAUCAUCCAGGUUACUUUGGGAAAGUUGGUAUGAGGCACCAGAGCUCCUGCCCAACUGUCAACCUAGAUAAAUUGUGGACGUUGGUCAGCGAGCAGAUGCGGGUCAAUGUAGCAAAAAAUAAGACUGGAGCUGCUCCCAUCAUUGAUGUUCGAUCAAGUUACUACAAAGUUCUGGGCUCGGAUAGCUCCCCAAGCAACCUGUCAUCGAGA
rnacentral:lncRNA from 1 species